rnacentral:rRNA from 1 species
GAUGAACGCUGGCGGCGUGCCUAAUACAUGCAAGUCGAGCGAACGGACGAGAAGCUUGCUUCUCUGAUGUUAGCGGCGGACGGGUGAGUAACACGUGGAUAACCUACCUAUAAGACUGGGAUAACUUCGGGAAACCGGAGCUAUUCCCGAAAAAUUUUUUGAACGGCAGGGUUCAAAGUUAAAAGACGGUCUUCCUGUCACUAAUGUAUGAACCCGCGCUGCAUUAGCUAGUUGGUAAGGUAACGGCUUACCAAGGCAACGAUGCAAAGCCGACCUGAGAGGGUGAUCGGCCACACUGGAACUGAGACACGGUCCAGACUCCUACGGGAGGCAGCAGUAGGGAAUCUUCCGCAAUGGGCGAAAGCCUGACGGAGCAACGCCGCGUGAGUGAUGAAGGUCUUCGGAUCGUAAAACUCUGUUAUUAGGGAAGAACAUAUGUGUAAGUAACUGUGCACAUCUUGACGGUACCUAAUCAGAAAGCCACGGCUAACUACGUG